GAAUUGUAUGAUGAAGCUUUGGUCCUUCCUCGUUUUGGUUGGUGGGUCCUAUGUGGGAAUAAACUAUAAACGUGACAUUGGAUUUUAAAGUUAAAAUCGAUGACCCUCCACCAGAAAACCCUCCCAAAGUGAAUGGUCAACAGUUAAUUGUAGUUGAGAGGAGAUUUAGGAUCAUUAAUAUCUUGAUAACCCUAUGAAUAUAUUAGAUUAUCACAUGGUAGCUAUGGUGGAAGUUUAUUGCAAGUAUUUUGUUACCCUUGUUCUAUGGAAGUACCUCUCCAUAUUCCGGCGGCUAAUAAUAAAAAAGAUAUCCUUUGGAUAAGUGUUUAACCAGUUGGCCUUGCAUAAUUACUUAUCUAUGACUUGUUGGGAUUUUUAUACAUCAGCAUAUGUGUUUAACUGUUGACAAUAUUAUUAGGUUGCUAAGGAUCCUUCUG
rnacentral:misc_RNA from 1 species